AAGAAAUAUUUUAGAGGGCAAAAUAAUAUUAUUUUAUUAUCUCUAUGUUGCCCUAACUUGUGUUGUCCUAAUUUCUCAUCGAGUUUCUAUAUGUUGGAGUUUUGCUACAUUUUGGAUAUGCUGGAGUUUAUUAUUUCUGGUAUUUCUCUCGGAUUGAGAAGAAGAAACCUUACAUGGUUCAGAGAUCGAAUGGGGUUCAUCAUAAGCCUUUGGAGGACGAAAUCCUCUUCCAGUAAUCAGUUUCGGUGGUGUAAGAUCAACUCUAGCUAGUCUUUGUUGGAGACACCAUUCAGGUAUUUUAGUGUAUUCAGAUUUGAUCACUCGUGUGGUUUCUAUCAGAGCAGUCUAUAGGAGUUUGGAUAAUUAUUGGCAAACAUUGUGAAGGAGUUUGGAUGUCAUACUUGUUGAAGCUGAGUGUUGGACAUUUCUGGUGCUACAGUGACUCGCAGCUAUAGUGACAUGAAUAGUGACUUGCAGCUACAAUGACAUGAAUGGUGACUCACAGCAUUACAGUAAUUUUUGCUGCAUGAUUCAGUCUGAGAUAAACAUUAAAUGCUCCUAUCCUUGGGAAUUGAAUGUGUAGAAUUUUGAAGGUGAUUUGACUUGGUUCCUAGCUGUUUGUCUUGUCCCAGUGCUUGUGACUCAGCUGGGUAUGCCUGAAAAGUAUCUUCUGAUAUGUGUUUGACCUUUUUCCUGCCAUUCAGAGGGUGCUAAACAAGGUGGGAGUGAAUAAGGUGUUUGUGUCCAUUGCUAGGGUGUCCGAGGUGAAGUUGGAAGUUGAUGGCAGAGGUUACCUUUGCUGUUAGAGACUGUAUCAGACCAUUUCUACACCUGUUCAUUGCCAAGAUUUACUUAAGAGACCUAUUCCUUUAGAAAGCAGCGAGAUAAAGUUGAUUGGAGGUUGUUAUUAGUGGCCCCUUCUGCUGAUUGGAACAGUAACAGUCCUUUUUCGAACCUGCUAUCACCCAGAAAAGUGCAUCAAAACUAAAAAUAUUUUUUGAACUGGGUAUAUCAGAUCCACAUUGUUCAUGAUUGUCUCCAGAAUUGAGUUUGCAAGGAUUUUGGGGUGAUUUCUAUAGGUGAACCUUCAUUUUUACUCGUUGGUUAGUGCUGGCUGGGUGUUAGGAGGAGUGCUGAGUGAAUUAUUCAUGCUCUAUUGCCCGUGGCAGUGCAUAUUGGCGUAUUAUAAGACCUGCGACAGAUGAUGAUGAUCCUUAAAUGAGGCAAAGCGGUUUUCAAAGUUCAUGGGAGUGUAAAAAAUUCUUGGAAAAUUUGAAUGUAAAGAAUUCCUACUAAUGGCUUAGCUCCCACAUCAUUUGGUAAAGUACCUAGCAGAUAUCUGUGUUCAGAAGGAAGUUGAUUUGUAAUUCUAAGCUUGGUUGUUGAUAUCUAUGGUGGUCAGCUGAAAUUUUUUAAACAUUUUGACCUCAAAAUCAUGCACCUUUUCUGUACAAUCUUAAUAUUGCUCUGCUAUAUCCUGCAAGUUAACUCAAUUCCGAUAGAAGUGAUUCCCUUUUAUUUUCUGCAACAGAGGUCUUAUUAACAACAAAGUAGCCCUUUAAAAGCUUUUGUGUGUAGGAAAUUAUACAUCUUUGCAAAGUAUGGUGGAAUUAAUUUGCAUCUGGCUCUAUAUAUUGUGCUACUCCCUGUCUACAAAAUUAUACAUUUCUGCAAAAUUAUCAUGAACUUUAUUUGGGGCUGACUCUAUAUUGUGCUACUCUUUGCCUUAAUGUCGAGCACCUGGCUUAUCUUAAGACAUGCUCCUUUAAAAUUCUAAAAUGUGACAAGCACAUUUUUGGACUGUAGUUUUGUAGCGAUGUAUAUUGUUAACCAUGGGCAAUAAAGAACAAGAGGUGUUGUGUUGCUA